GCAGGCGGGCAUAGCGCAGGGGCCCCACCCGUUCCCAUCCCGAACACGGACGUGACCCUCUGCAGCGCCGAUGGUACUGGCCGACCGGCCGGGAGCGUAGGUCCCCGACUGCU
rnacentral:rRNA from 1 species